rnacentral:rRNA from 1 species
UUGGAGGGCAAGUCUGGUGCCAGCAGCCGCGGUAAUUCCAGCUCCAAUAGCGUAUAUUAAAGUUGUUGCAGUUAAAAAGCUCGUAGUUGAAUUUCGGGAUCAAUAUGUCGGUCGUGCCUUCGGUACGUACUGGUAUCAUUGGUCUCUCCUUUCUGACGAACCAUGAUGUCAUUAAUUUGGUGUUAUGGGGAGUUAGGACUGUUACUUUGAAAAAAUUAGAGUGUUUAAAGCAGGCUUUAGCUUGAAUACAUUAGCAUGGAAUAAUGAAAUAGGACGUUCGAACCUAUUUUGUUGGUUUCUAGGAUCAACGUAAUGAUUAAUAGGGAUAGUUGGGGGCAUUAGUAUUCAAUUGUCAGAGGUGAAAUUCUUGGAUUUAUUGAAGACUAACUACUGCGAAAGCAUUUGCCAAGGAUGUUUUCAUUAAUCAAGAACGAAAGUUAGGGGAUCGAAGACGAUCAGAUACCGUCGUAGUCUUAACCAUAAACUAUGCCGACUAGGGAUCGGACGAUGUUAAUUUUUUAAUGACUCAUUCGGCGCCUUACGGGAAAC